UUAUAUUACCCUGUAUGGCAUGCCCCCAGACCCCCUAGCUGAAUUUGGUCCCCCACCCACAAAACCAAGGCUGUAAUAAAUGAAAACAGCCUUCCCUAUAUAAUGGCAGAUAAUUUCAUUUAGUCUUUUUCUAGGAACACUUCUGAUCAGAAGUUCUUAUGUGUCAUAAGCUCAAACUGACCCACUUCAUGUUUUUGUUCAGCAGACUACAUGGACUUGUGUAGUUACGCAUCGCAGACUUAACAACCUUUGGCCACCCUGCUAUUUUCUCUGGCCACCAUAUGGCCACCCCUAAAAAAAAUCUCUGUGGGCAUCCCUGGCAGUAUGUGUGCAACAAUCCC